AUUGAACGCUGGCGGCAGGCUUAACACAUGCAAGUCGAGCGAGCGGCGGACGUGUGAGUAAUGUCUGGGACACUGCCUGAUGGAGGGGGAUAACUACUGGAAACGGUUGCAAAUACCGCAUACCAUCGGAUGUGCCCAGGUGGGAUUAGCUAGUAGGUGGGGUAAUGGCGCACCUAGGCGACGAUCCCUGGCUGGUCUGAGAGGAUGACCAGGCACACUGGAACUGAGAUACGGUCCAGACUCCUACGGGAGGCAGCAGUGGGGAAUAUUGCACAAUGGGCGCAAGCCUGAUGCAGCCAUGCCGCGUGUGUGAAGAAGGCGUUCGGGUUGUAAAGCACUUUCAGCGAGGAGGCGUUACUCGCAGAAGAAGCACCGGCUAACUCCGUGCCAGCCGCCGCGGUAAUAC
rnacentral:rRNA from 1 species